rnacentral:rRNA from 1 species
AUGCUAGCGAUUAACAACGUUGUGCAGAAGGCAAGCGCAGGACACUAUUUUGGAUUAGCUUAUAUUUUUCGGGCAAAGUUGUUCAUUUUAUUAACAUGGCAAAGUUCAGACAUUGAUGCAAAACAGCGGUAUGCCUUGAUGUUCAUUUUAUAUUGUUGGGUACAACCAUGGGUACAGCUUGCAGAGGUAAAAAUCCCAAGCACCCCUCAUGCAAAGAGAAGGGUAAUCUCCUUUUUUGCGUACUGUAUGCCUUCUCUACUUAUUUAUAUUGCAAUAAUAAUAUCCUACAAGUAUUCGGAAUAA